AUAUAAAGAAAAGACGAACAGCUCAGUAACUCUUAUUUUAUUUGAUGUAUUAGGAUUAUAACUAUGUUAAAUUAUAGAUAACAAUAAUACAAUAAGAAUAAGAUCUAUCAGUUAGUUGUUAAGGUAAUGGCUUAACAAGACUAUGACGGAUAACGGUAUUACUUUGUAAUAUUCCGGAGAAGGAGCCUGAGAGAUUGCUACUAAGUCUAAGGAUUGCAGCAGGGGCGAAACUUGACCUAUGAUAUGAUAUUGAGGCAGUUAUGAGUAGUAUUUUUAAUUAUUGUAGUAUUGUAAGUAUAUACUACAAGAUAAAUCGGAGGGCAAAUCGAGUGCCAGCAGCCGCGGUAAUACUUGUUCCGAUAGUGUGUAUGAUGAUUGAUGCAGUUAAAAAGUCUGUAGUUUAUUAUUAAUAAGCAUUGUGAGGUAUAUUGUAUGGUUAGGAGAGAGAUGAAAUGUGAUAACCCUAACUGGAUGAACAGAAGCGAAAGCUAUAUACUUAAAUGUUUUAUUAGAACAAGGACGUAAGCUAGAGGAUCGAAGAUGAUUAGAUACCAUUGUAGUUCUAGCAGUAAACUAUGUUAAAUCAUAGAUACAUUAUUAAUAUGUAUUUAUGUAAAGAAAUUAAGAUUAUAUUGACUCUGGGGAUAGUAUGAUCGCAAGAUUGAAAAUUAAAGAAAUUGACGGAAGA
rnacentral:rRNA from 1 species